CCUACGGGCGGCAGCAGUGGGGAAUAUUGCACAAUGGGGGAAACCCUGAUGCAGCGACGCCGCGUGAGUGAAGAAGUAUUUCGGUAUGUAAAGCCCUAUUAGCAGAAAGAAAAUUACCGUACUCGAACAAGAAGCCCCGGCGAACUACGUGCCAGGCGCCCCGGGAAUACGUAGGGGGCAAGCGUUAUCCGGAUUUACUGGGGGUAAAGGGAGCGUAGACGGCAGAGCAAGUCUGAAGUGAAAUGCCGGGGCUUAACCCCGGAACUGCUUUGGAAACUGUGCAGCUAGAGUGCGGGAGAGGUAGGUGGAAUUCCUGGUGUAGCGGUAAAAUGCGUAGAGAUUAGGAGGAAAACUAAUGGCGAAGGCGGCUUACUGGACUGUAACUGACGUUGAGGCUCGAAAGCGUGGGGAGCAAACAGGAUUAGAUACCCCUGUAGUC
rnacentral:rRNA from 1 species